UGCCAGACUCCUACGGGAGGCAGCAGUGGGGGAUAUUGCACAAUGGGGGAAACCCUGAUGCAGCGACGCCGCGUGAGUGAAGAAGUAUUUCGGUAUGUAAAGCUCUAUCAGCAGGGAAGAAAAUGACAGUACCUGACCAAGAAGCCCCGGCUAACUCCGUGCCAGCAGCCGCGGUAAUACGGAGGAUGCGAGCGUUAUCCGGAUUUAUUGGGUUUAAAGGGUGCGUAGGCGGGCAUUUAAGCCGGCGGUCAAAUGUCGGGGCUCAACCCCGGCCUGCCGUCGGAACUGGGUGCCUUGAGUGGGCGAGAAGUAUGCGGAAUGCGUGGUGUAGCGGUGAAAUGCAUAGAUAUCACGCAGAACCCCGAUUGCGAAGGCAGCAUACCGGCGCCCUACUGACGCUGAGGCACGAAAGUGCGGGUAUCGAACAGGAUUAGAUACCCCAGUA
rnacentral:rRNA from 1 species